GUCCAGAGGAACCUUGAAAACUGCAUAGAGCUAGGUGAAAAAGCCAAAAAAGAAGACCGCAAGGUCAAGCUAAUAAGGGCUAACGGUGGAUACCUAGGCACACAGAGGCGA
rnacentral:rRNA from 1 species